AGGCGGCGCGUGAUUGGUCGCGUCUUGGUGCAGCUCCCAGCCGUGGUGCUUCCGCGUGCUGGCGGCCAGGUGCGACCUCGGGAGCGGGCCGUGGGCUGGGCGGCUGGGCAGUUUGGACUCCGCGAGGCCUCACUAGGUUUUGAGAAUUUAGAAACCGGGGCUCCCUCUUUCUUCGGGAAGGACGGCCUCUUGGACGCUUGGUUUGUCCCGCCUUGACAUCUCGAGGCGCAAGCGGGGAGCUAUUGUCAGCAGCCCUAGGGGCACCUUGGUCAUCCAGAAACAAGGGACCGGAGAACCUUGGAAGGUUUUUGAACCUAGUAAUGUAAGUUUUAAAAUUUGAAUAUAUUUCCUUACACAAGACUGUGUCAUCCGGACCCACGCAUAAACGGGAUGGUGUUACCUGAUCGACGUGAAGUCUCUUACCCUUACUACAGGGGUCAGAAAAGACAUCUCUCCAUUCCCCACGAAUUAAAGACCCACUAGCCCAGGAGACAGUCCAUCUGGAAACCACAUGCCUGGCCCCCCGCCAAAGAGGCCCAUUGAACUGUCGGCAGUUGGAACAUUGAUUGUGCAGGAUCGCUGCCUACAGACACCUGUGAGAACGAUAGCAGACUUAUUUUCUUUCAUUGCCCUUCCUGCCUUUAUUCGCCUCCUGUUUUCCUUUGUCCCACUCGUCUGUGUCCGUGGCUGCCAGCCCAGGAGAGGUCUUCAUCUUUCCUCAUGGAUGACCGAAACAGCCUCCCAGUUGGUUCCCCGCUGCCCACCAGAACCAUCUUGGGCACAACAAGCUAGCCCUUUUCUAACGUAACUGAGCGAGGGCUUGUGUGCCCGAAGUGCAGAACACCAAGCUCUGAUAACAGGUGUCUGCAGCCAAGUAAGAGUUUACUUCCAGGGUGAGGGAGUAGGAGACAAGCCUCAGAUCCACUCUGUCUCUUUGAGUUAGGGAUGUUUUCAAGGGGAAGAAUAAAGAGACUGGGAUUCAUCAUCGUCUUGUGACAUUUC